GUCAACUCUAGAGGUACAAAUCUAGCGUCAACUCUAGAGGUACAAAUCUAGCGUCAACUCUAGAGGUACAAAUCUAGCGUCAACUCUAGAGGUACAAAUCUAGCGUCAACUCUAGAGGUACAAAUCUAGCGUCAACUCUAGAGGUACAAAUCUAGCGUCAACUCUAGAGGUACAAAUCUAGCGUCAACUCUAGAGGUACAAAUCUAGCGUCAACUCUAGAGGUACAAAUCUAGCGUCAACUCUAGAGGUACAAAU